GUCUGUAGCUCAGCUGGUUAGAGCACUGUGUUGAUAACGCAGGGGUCGUUGGUUCGAGCCCAACUAGACC
rnacentral:tRNA from 1 species